UGGGGAAUAUUGGACAAUGGGCGAAAGCCUGAUCCAGCAACGCCGCGUGGAGGAUGAAGGUCUUCGGAUUGUAAACUCCUGUCAGAUGGGAAGAACGACUGUCGGCAAAUAGUCGAUAGUCUUGACUGUACCAUCGGAGGAAGCCCCGGCUAACUCUGUGCCAGCAGCCGCGGUAAUACAGAGGGGGCAAGCGUUAUUCGGAAUUAUUGGGCGUAAAGGGCGCGUAGGUGGCCUGGUAAGUCAACGGUGAAAUCCCUCGGCUCAACCGAGGAACUGCCUUUGAUACUGCCAGGCUUGAGGCCGGGAGAGGGUAGCGGAAUUCCCAGUGUAGCGGUGAAAUGCGUAGAUAUCAAGAGGAACACCUGAGGUGAAGACGGGUUGCUGGGCUGACACUGACGCUGAGGCGCGAAAGCCAGGGGAGCAAACGGGAUUAGAUACCCAUGUAGUCCCUGAGCGGGCUGGCAAGGCGCAU
rnacentral:rRNA from 1 species